rnacentral:rRNA from 1 species
AACGUAGGGCGCAAGCGUUAUCCGGAAUUAUUGGGCGUAAAGAGCUCGUAGGCGGUUUGUCGCGUCUGCCGUGAAAGUCCGGGCUCAACUCCGGAUCUGCGGUGGGUACGGGCAGACUAGAGUGAUGUAGGGGAGACUGGAAUUCCUGGUGUAGCGGUGAAAUGCGCAGAUAUCAGGAGGAACACCGAUGGCGAAGGCAGGUCUCUGGGCAUUAACUGACGCUGAGGAGCGAAAGCAUGGGGAGCGAACAGG